rnacentral:rRNA from 1 species
UGGGGAAUAUUGCACGAUGGGCGCAAGCCUGAUGCAGCCAUGCCGCGUGUAUGAAGAAGGCCUUCGGGUUGUAAAGUACUUUCAGCGGGGAGGAAGGCGAUGUGGUUAAUAACCGCGUCGAUUGACGUUACCCGCAGAAGAAGCACCGGCUAACUCCGUG